GUUAGGAUUCUGCCCGCCCCCCCCCCCCAGCAAAUGCAUAUGCUUCUGCUUUGAUACUCAGGUUUUCUGAACGUUUUUUAGAUGAUUUGGCAGUUCAAAGUUCUAAAGGAACAAUGAAGUGUUUUCUGGACUACCACGCCAACACCAUCGCUCUUCCAGCUCGGCUCUCCGCUUCCAAGGCAUUGUUUAACAUCAGCCUCCUCAAAAACCUCGCCACGUUUGACAGGGUUAUUUGUGGGAUCCGGCAUGCUUUAAAGCAACGAUGGCAAUACAGAUAAAAAUAGACGGGUGAGAAGACAUUCCCUUUCUUAGAUGCUUAGAUUUAAUUCUUUACAUUCAUUGCACAGACAGGAAUAAUGCUAAGGGUGUGUGUGUGGGGGGGGGGAACUGUGUCACUCUGAGAAAUGCAGCACAAUUAAAUAAAUAAUUCUCAACUGGGGGGAGGGCACCAAACGCACACUGAGAAGAAUCUCUAUGUUACGAUUCAUUAAAACCAGCCUUAAGAAGUCCAUGCAUUUGGCACAAUGCUAAAUAAAGGCCCUUAAACACAAAUAACAUUUGUGAGGUGCUUACUCUGUGUUUACCACACACUGAAUACAAGGUUACGGAUGGACUGGUUUACUACUCCUCCCAACAGGCUGACAUUAGCUGUCUUCUAACUAUGGCAAAGACAGGGUGAAGUCACUUGUCCAAGGUCAGAUGGCCAACUCAUAUGUGGAGGUGAGAUUUGAACCCGGAUCUGUGUGCCUUGAAAAUUUUUGUGU